rnacentral:tRNA from 1 species
AACGGUGUAGUUUAUUUAAAAAUUUUGAGUUUGCAUCUCAAAGAAGGAUUGUAUCUUACUGUUA